rnacentral:rRNA from 1 species
GAUGAACGCUGGCGGCGUGCCUAAUACAUGCAAGUAGAACGCUGAAGGAAGGAGCUUGCUCUUUCCGGAUGAGUUGCGAAUGGGUGAGUAACGCGUAGGUAACCUGCCUGGUAGCGGGGGAUAACUAUUGGAAACGAUAGCUAAUACCGCAUAACAGUAGAUGUUGCAUGAUAUCUACUUAAAAGGUGCAAUUGCACCACUACCAGAUGGACCUGCGUUGUAUUAGCUAGUUGGUGAGGUAACGGCUCACCAAGGCGACGAUACAUAGCCGACCUGAUAGGGUGAUCGGCCACACUGGGACUGAGACACGGCCCAGAAUCCUACGGGAGGCAGCAGUAGGGAAUCUUAGGCAAUGGACGGAAGUCUGACCGAGAAACGCCGCGGGAGUGAAGAAGGUUUUCGGAUCGUAAAGCUCUGUUGUAAGAGAAGAACGAGUGUGAGAGUGGAAAGUUCACACUGUGACGGUAUCUUACCAGAAAGGGACGGCUAACUACGUG